CACAGGAGGAGCUGAAACCUUCAUCAGAAACCCAAAACACCUGAUAAAAAACCUCCCGAGAACCUCCUCAGAACGUCUAGUUCUUCAUCUCUACUAACUUUAUCGAUGACCAACCGACAACUGUGCGCUACUCUAGAACUUUCUCCAGAUGUCUGUAGGUCUACUCUAGAACUUUCUCCAGUUGUCGGUAGGUCUACUCUAGAACUUUCUCCACUUGUCUGUAGGUCUACUCUAGAACUUUCUCCAGAUGUCUGUAGGUCUACUCUAGAACUUUCUCCACUUGUCGGUAGGUCUACUCUAGAACUUUCUCCAGUUGUCGGUAGGUCUACUCUAGAACUUUCUCCACUUGUCUGUAGGUCUACUCUAGAACUUUCUCCAGAUGUCUGUAGGUCUACUCUAGAACUUUCUCCAGUUGUCGGUAGGUCUACUCUAGAACUUUCUCCACUUGUCGGUAGGUCUACUCUAGAACUUUCUCAAGUUGUCGGUAGGUCUACUCUAGAACUUUCUCCAGAUGUCUGUAGGUCUACUCUAGAACUUUCUCCAGAUGUCUGUAGGUCUACUCUAGAACUUUCUCCACUUGUCGGUAGGUCUACUCUAGAACUUUUUCCAGCUGUCAGUAGGUCUACUCUAGAACUUUCUCCAGCUGUCGGUCGGUCUACUCUAGAACUUUCUCCACUUGUCGGUAGGUCUACUCUAGAACUUUCUCCAGUUGUCGGUAGGUCUACUCUAGAAUGUUCUCCAGGAGAUGUUCUCCUCUAUGGACUUCAAGGACCUGGAACUCCGGAAAUAUUCCCAGUAUGAUGGCAGAACUCUGAUCAUUGAUAAAGUUUCUGGAGAUGAAGAAGCACGGAUGACGUU